UACAGAGGGUGCGAGCGUUAAUCGGAAUUACUGGGCGUAAAGCGUGCGCAGACGGUCACGUAAGUCGGGUGUGAAAGCCCCGGGCUCAACCUGGGAAUUGCAUUCGAGACUGCGUGGCUAGGGUGCGGAAGAGGGAAGCGGAAUUUCCGGUGUAGCGGUGAAAUGCGUAGAUAUCGGAAGGAACACCAGUGGCGAAAGCGG
rnacentral:rRNA from 1 species